AGAUUUUCAUGUCUCCACCCGCUACUACCUGAGGAUACUACUUUGCUGUACCAGACACAGGAGCAUACACCUCUGACUUCACAAAAAUAUCCUUUAAGUAUGCUGGCAGAAAUGGAGACGAUGGCUUAUGUGACUGAGAUCAGGCUGAGUGGAGGUCGGGGGGCCUGGAGCGGAGUGGCUCCCUCCUCCUGCCCUGAGGUGGAUCUGGAGGUCAUCGAGGAGUACCUGCAGGAGCACUCACUGGAGGUCCAGCCUGC
rnacentral:lncRNA from 1 species